rnacentral:lncRNA from 1 species
GCUCAACUAUUUUACGUAUACUUUGAAAUUCUUCAUUAUUGUUGCCAUUGCAAGUAAAGAGAGAGGCACAAUAGACUCCUACUAAACAUCAUGUCACUAUCUCAGUUCAGAUUGCUUUAAGCUAAAAGUUGAAAAAGUAUCGGUAACUCAGCAAGAUGAUACCAUGAACAUCAUCAUACGCAACCUUGCCCAAGAUUUCUCUUACCUCACUGGUUUCAAACCAGACAUCAGGGUUGGUUAUCCCUGCAUAUCUAUAGUAUCCUUGAAAUCAAGUAAAUUAAUCCAUAAAAUAUCAAGCAAGAUUAAACCAGGUCCAAAGAGAAACAAGAGAGGCAUGGUAUAGAGAACAACUUUUAGUAAAAUUAACAAAAUGUAUAUGUCUGUAAUAUAGAAAAACAAUAACAAAU